rnacentral:pre_miRNA from 1 species
AAUAGAUGAUGCCGUUGACUUUUUCUCACAUGUUUGACCAUUCGUCUUAUUCAAAAAAUUUACGUAAUUAUAAUUUAUUUUGUUAUGAGUUGUUUUAUUACUAAUAGUACUUUAAGUGUGAUUUAUAUCUUAUACAUUUGCAUAAAUUUUUUAAAUAAGACGAAUAGUCAAACAUGUGAGAAAAAGUCAACAGCACCAUCUAUU